rnacentral:rRNA from 1 species
GAUGAACGCUAGCGGCAGGCCUAAUACAUGCAAGUCGAACGGUGUCUUCGGACAUAGUGGCGCACGGGUGCGUAACACGUAUGCAACCUACCUUACAUUGGGGGAUAGCCUUUCGAAAGGGAGAUUAAUACCGCAUAAGACAGUAGCUGGGCAUCCAGCAGCUGUUAAAGAUUUAUCGAUGUAAGCUGGGCAUGCGUCCAAUUAGCUAGUUGGUGAGGUAACGGAUCACCAAGGCAAUGAUUGGUAGGGGAACUGAGAGGUCAAUCCCCCACACUGGCACUGAGAGACGGGCCAGACUCCUACGGGAGGCAGCAGUAGGGAAUAUUGGGCAAUGGACGCAAGUCUGACCCAGCCAUGCCGCGUGCAGGAUGAAGGCGUUAUGCGUUGUAAACUGCUUUUAUACAGGAAGAAACGACUCUUGCGAGAGGCAUUGACGGUACUGUAUGAAUAAGCACCGGCUAACUCCGUGCCAGCAGCCGCGGUAACAC